rnacentral:rRNA from 1 species
AGUUUCUUGGGUUUUAAUAAGAAAUAUUUUCUGCUCAAUGAUUUUAAAUAGCCGCGGUAAUUUGACCGUGCGAAGGUAGCAUAAUCAUUUGCUUUAUAAUUGAGGGCUAGUAUGAAUGGAUUAACGAAAAUUUAUCUGUCUUUUUUUGAAAAUAAAAAUUUGUUUUUUGUGUGAAGAAACAUUAAUAUAAAAAUAGGACAAGAAGACCCUUUUGAUCUUUAUUAAAUUUUUUGUUUUUUUAAAUAUUUAAUUUGGCUGGGGCGGUCAAGGAAAAUGGUAUCUUCCUUUAAAAAUUAUGAUCCAUAAUUAGUGAUAUAUAGAUUAAGUUACCAAAGGGAUAACAGCGUAAUUUUUUUUGUGAGUUCAUAUUUAAAAAAAAGAUUGCGACCUCGAUGUUGACUUAUAGUUUCCUUUAAGUGCAGUAGCUUAUAUGGUAGGUCUGUUCGACCUUUAAAAUUUU